GGUACUAUGGCCUAGUGGUAGAGGCUCUACAGUGUUGCCACAAUGCCAUCAAUGACUGAUGCUGUGAAGGCCUGUGUUCAAAUCACGGUGGUGUUA